GUGGGGAAUAUUGGGCAAUGGGGGAAACCCUGACCCAGCAACGCCGCGUGAAGGAAGAAGGCUUUCGGGUUGUAAACUUCUUUUAUGAGGGACGAAGAAGUGACGGUACCUCAUGAAUAAGCCACGGCUAACUACGUGCCAGCAGCCGCGGUAAUACGUAGGUGGCAAGCGUUGUCCGGAUUUACUGGGUGUAAAGGGCGCGUAGGCGGGAUAGCAAGUCAGGUGUGAAAUCCGGGGGCUUAACCCUCGAACUGCACUUGAAACUGUUAUGCUUGAGUGAGGGAGAGGCAAGCGGAAUUCCUAGUGUAGCGGUGAAAUGCGUAGAUAUUAGGAGGAACACCAGUGGCGAAGGCGGCUCACUGGCUCGAUACUGACGCUGAGGUGCGAAAGAGUGGGGAGCAAACAGGAUUAGAUACCCGAGUAGUCC
rnacentral:rRNA from 1 species